GGAGAGUUACUCAAGAGGCCUUAGGGGACGGUUUGCAAAACCGUUAGUGCAGCGAGGGUUCGAAUCCCUCACUCUCCGCC
rnacentral:tRNA from 1 species